rnacentral:sRNA from 1 species
AACCCUGUUUUAAAAAUAUAUUUAUAUUGAUAUAGGUAUUCUCCUUUUGUUUAAGGAAGCAGCAAAAAAACGAAGGUUGGAAUUUAUUGAGAAAGAAAAGAAGCAAAAGGAUCAGAUCAGGUUCCUGAAGGCUGAGCAGCUGAAGAGGCAAGAGAAGCAGCGGUUGGAGAGGAUAAAUAGGGCCAGGGAACAAGGAUGGAGGAAUGUUUUAAGGGCUGGUGGAAGCGGUGAAGUAAAGGCUUCCUUUUUUGGCAGUGGAGGAGCUGUGUCUCCAUCACCUUGUUCUCCUCGGGGCCAGUAUGAACAUUACCAUGCCAUCUUUGACCAAAUGCAGCAGCUAAGAGCAGAAGAUAAUGAAGCGAGAUGGAAAGGGAGAAUAUAUGGUCGAUGGCUCCCUGAAAGCAUUUAGUAUCGGGGGCCAUUUUACUUGGUGUGUGAAGAUACCUCAUUUUAGUCACAAUGACCUUGCGAUGUUGACCAUCCUUUCCUGUACUAUUGGCCAUCUGUAAAUCCAUUUUGGUGAGUUUUCUCUAUGUCUCUUGUCUUUUUUAUUGUUGUUGUUU